AAAAAAUCCCAUAAUGCUCGUCGCACCGGCUGUGUUUGAAUGUUAAAAGUAAGAACCCGAUAGACUUUAAUAUGGUUUUCAUGUGUCUGGGAUGUACAGUGGAGGAGACGUCAAGACGGUCCAGAAAAUGACUCGUUUCUCAUAUUAUGGACGCUAGGAAGCAUUGAUUUGCAACGGAACGUAUUUAAGGUCAGUCACAAUCACUCCAAUGGCCUUCUGCAACCGUGCCUGCAUCGUUUUGUUGCAGAGAACAUGAAGCAGGUGGAUAUAAUAAAUAAGAAGAAUUAGAAAGAUUUCAAGUCCAUCAUAGAGUCCAAAGUCCAAGCAAAGGUAGACGUGUGUCCUCUUGCAAAAGGAAAGGCCGUCCAUUGGUGGAGGUGGGCUUCAAGCUGCACCGCAGAUCGUCAAAUGUAGGCUGUGGCUGUGACCCCGGCAUGGCCAACAAAGAGAAUGAGAUGACAUGCUCCGAUGAUGUGCGCUGUUUUCACUACAAUGACCACGGUGGGCUUCCUGUGAAUUCUGCAGAGGCCUCAAAGAUGGCUGGGGCCAGCUCCAAGCACAGUGACUUUACUGAGCUGUCCAAGGAUCAUGA